CCUACGGGUGGCAGCAGUGAGGAAUAUUGGUCAAUGGGCGGGAGCCUGAACCAGCCAAGCCGCGUGAGGGAAGAAGGUACAGCGUAUCGUAAACCUCUUUUGUCAGGGAACAAAGGCGGGGACUAGUCCCCGGAUGAGGGUACCUGAAGAAAAAGCAUCGGCUAACUCGGUGCCAGCAGCCGCGGUAAUACGGAGGAGGCGACGGUUAUCCGGAUUUAUUGUGUUUAAAGGGUGGGCAGGCGGCCUGUUAAGGCAGCGGUAAAAGCCCGGGGCUAAACCCCGGCGAGCCGUUGAAACUGGCAGGCUGGAGUUGGGGAGAGGUACGCGGAAUGCGCGGUGUAGCGGUGAAAUGCUUAGAGAUCGCGCAGAACCCCGAUUGCGAAGGCAGCGUACCGGCUCCACACUGACGCUGAGGCACGAAAGCGUGGGUAUCGAACAGGAUUAGAUACCCUAGUAGUC
rnacentral:rRNA from 1 species